GAUGAACGCUGGCGGCGUGCUUAACACAUGCAAGUCGAACGGAAAGGCCUCAGCUUGCUGGGGUGCUCGAGUGGCGAACGGGUGAGUAACACGUAGGUGAUCUGCCUUUCACUUCGGGAUAAGCUUGGGAAACUGGGUCUAAUACCGGAUAUUCACGGCACCGUGGUUGGUGUGGUGGAAAGCUUUUGCGGUGGGAGAUGAGCUUGCGGCCUAUCAGCUUGUUGGUGGGGUAAUGGCCUACCAAGGCGGCGACGGGUAGCCGGCCUGAGAGGGUGUGCGGCCACAUUGGGACUGAGAUACGGCCCAGACUCCUACGGGAGGCAGCAGUGGGGAAUUUUGCACAAUGGGCGGAAGCCUGAUGCAGCGACGCCGUGUGGGGGAUGAAGGCCAUCGGGUUGUAAACUCCUUUCGUCAGGGACGAAGUUUGUUUGACGGUACCUGGAUAAGAAGCACCGGCUAACUACGUG
rnacentral:rRNA from 1 species